AUGGGCGUUUAUUUAUUCUGAAGCAACUGCAGGCCACCGCUUUCAAGGCUCAAGGCCUUCAAGGCUUCAUCGCUUCAACCAAUUCGUGAAGAACGAUCACUGCAACAGCACCGCGCCACGACGCCACCGCUCUUUGAUCGACGGCAUCGACCAGGCGACCACCGAGGCACUGACCCAACUCACCCAAGCAAUCUUCUCUUUGAUUUCGUGUUUCCGGCUAGGCUUCUCAAGGUUUCAAUAAUGGAGCGGCGACAAGGGAGAACAUAUGAAGUGUGUAAAAGAAAAAAGCAUAAACAGGAGGAGGCGAUGCAAGACAUUGACUACUACGGGGAUGAUUCAAUGUCUGAAUUUGAUUAUGACUUCCGCCCUAAGUCAGAUUCAGAAUCUGUAAGCUGGAGUGCAGAAUCCGAAAGCAUGACUAGUGAAGUUGUUGCCUUGCACGAGGAAAAUAAGAAGAAAAAACAAAUGGAGAUGGAAAAACAAACGGGAAGGAAAAAGAUGUAAGGGAACCGAGCCAGGAUGCAAAGGGUGAUCACUUUAUAAAAAAAACCCUCGGAUAGCUAGAGUGAAACCGAAUCGUGGUACAGAGAAACUUGAUCCUGCUGUAUUUGUGGAUAAUUCGAAAAGUGUGGGAGGACAAGUAAAAGAGGCGAGCAAAGUUAUAGCAACCUUUUACGAGCAUAAGAAGGCAAUGUCGAAUGUCAAUUGUGCCAUUGAGACUUUAGGGAGGGUUGUUGUUACAUUUAACAAAACCAAAAGGGGAACUGUUACAAAAAUAGGGUUUGGAAAACUGCUCUAUGCUUCCGAGAAAAGUCUUCCACGACACUUAUCGUACUGGAUCAGUACAAGACUAGAUGUGAAGAAUAAAAUGUUGGUGGCCGUCGAUGGACAACAAAUUCGGUUGAACGCAAUCCAGGUGCAUUGGGUUCUUGGCCUUCCAAAGGGGAAUAAAGCACUUCCGAUAAAAGUUGUCGAUAAGGCUUUAAAGGACCAUUUGUAUGACAAGUAUAUCACACCUAUGGGGCGCAACACUACCGGAAUUUAUAGGAGUACUCUCGUACAAGUAGUUGAGGCCCCGUUAGUUGACGAGGGUGAGUUUAAGAAGGUUUUUGUCAUGUUGGUGCUAAACAUUCUAUGUUCAACAACUUGUCAUAGAGUGAUCAAGAAGCAGAUGCGCCUAUUUGUCUUGGCUGACAAAGCAGAGAAGUAUGAUUGGUGUACAGUAGUGUUGGAUGAGUUGCUCCAUGCGCUAGGUAGUUUCAGUAAGAGGUUCUAUGCGAAAGGGUGGGCUCCUUGUCUCGGUGGCUGUACAUAUUUUUUGUCGAUAGAGACUUUAAUGCAAGUGCAUACUCUUCUAGUAUAUUGGGAUGUGUUCGUACGAAUUAAAUGUGGACCACGGAGGAGAUGAAGAAAGCGGAAAAGGAUAAUAAGUUACCUAGUGGAGAUUUUGGGAAACUUGGGUUCCGAAGCCUAGAUGGUGACUGGAUCUGGAAGCUGGUUGGGAUUACCUGCACAAUAGACGGUGAUUAUGCCCUGGGGGUGGCUUCGAGGAACCCCCCUCCGAUGCUUAAGUUAGUAAGGUUCCGGGUGAAUAAUAAUGGAUAGGUGAUAAAAUGAAUGUGUCUAACCUCUUUUCCGUUGUACUUAGGUUGCUAUUUAUAGUUGUACUAUUCUUGGUGUUGCAAGCUGAGGCCUGCUGGGGUCAGUCAUGAGGCUGAGUCCCUGAGAGAUCGAUCCUGACUCCGAGGUGGAGCCUGCUGGGGUUAGCCAUGAAGUUGAGCCCCUAGGAGAUUUUUUCUAGCCUCGGGCUGGACUGGCACGAGUGCGCACCUCUUAAGUGGUGCUGGGAGCAUAGGUCAGCUUAGCGGGAGCUACCCCGUACAACUAGCCCCUCUAGAGGUGGUCUGAGGCACUCAAGCCAGCUCUUGUUGACUAGAGACGUUCUUCUGGGAAGAGCUCUGCCGAGGCUACCCCAUACAACUAGCCACCCAAAAGGUGGUACGAGGGAUUCGUGUCAGCUCUUCCAAACUUUUAUUGGGUCAUUACUUGGCUCAAUUUACUAAUCGAGAUCCUCUUUAUACAACUAGUCCCCCUUGAGUCUCAUAUCUGCAAUCAGCUGAUUUGAGGCUAAGAGAGUUCUGCUAGUGAGGUGCAUCAUGCUGAAUUUGUCAAGGUGAGGAGCGUGGAUUACUCCCGCUGAAGUUAUGCCAAAGUGGCGAGCUGAGGCCGAGCGAGGAGCUUUGAUUACCCCGCUGAAGUUAUUUCAAAGCAACGAGCUAAGGCUGAGCGAGGAGCUUUGAUUACUCCCGCUGAAGUUAUUUCAAAGCAACGAGCCGAGGCUGAGGGAGGAGCUUUGAUUACUCCCGCUGAAGUUGUUUCAAAGCGACGAGCUGAGGCCGAGCAAGGAGCUUUGAUUACUCCCGCUGAAGUUAUUUUAAAGCAACGAGCUAAAGCUGAGCGAGGAGCUUUGAUUACUCCCGCUGAAGUUAUUUCAAAGCAACGAGUUGAGGCUGAGCGAGGAGCUUUGAUUACUCCUGCUGAAGUUAUUUCAAAGCAACGAGCUAAGGCUAAGCGAGGAGCUCUUUUUUUUUUUCGACGUGGCCCUGCUUAGUGUGUUGGUUACCUCCCUUUGUUAGGUAAGUAACUGUCAUUUAAUGCUGGUACUCAAUUUCCCCUCUGUUCUUUUCGUAUUCUAUGUUUUCACUAUUGUGUUUUUCAUUUUAAUUUUGAAUUUUUUCUCCUCUAUCCUUUCUCAUUCAUUCACUCGCCUUUUCAAAGUUACCUUCCUUUCGCUCCAACUUCCAACUUCUCUUCACUCCAUCCCCUUCUCUCGUAGUUCUGCAAUUUAUUUGGGUGCCACUCGCCGCAAGUUCGCCAUGAAUUACGCUUUGGUUGCCUCAUAUUUGUUGCUCGUUCAUCAAAAGUUAUCAUCUUUUAACCAUCUUCCGCCAUUGUUGUACUUCCUUUGUUGAAUUGAGUAUAUUUUUUCCUAAAGAUUGCCCUUUUUUCUUUUUAUCGUGUUGUUAAUUUGCCCUUGUAUACUUUUUUUUUUGUUCCAAGACCAAUUCUUACCUUGUUGUUGUAGUAAUUUCUCAUCGUCGUUGUACUCGUACGGUUUAUUCUUUGAUUUGUUCUUCUGUCGCCCCCUUCUUCCUUUUUCUUUUCUUCUUGUUUAAUCUCUUCAUUGGAAAUUUGUGUUCUUUUUCUUUUUCCAAGUUUUGAUUUUUUUUUGCUAUGUCGGACGCUUUUGAUAGUCAGAAUGACUCCUCCCGCUCUUACGACGUUGGUGGCGAGUCCGAGUCUACUUCCUCUUCCGAGUCGACUCGCUCAAGUGAGCCUUCUAGGCCAUAUGUCCCUUUUUCUUCUCCUAUUUCUUGUUCCCCUUUGCAAGUUGUGUUUCCUCUCAACUACAACGUUCCAUCGGGAAGUGUGCCCGUCGCUGGCGCUUUUGCUUGUGUUGUUGAGCCUAGCGGCGGGCGCUCUAACCCUAGCACGUUUCAUCCUUACCUUCGUGGUAGGUUGCGCAGCGAUACUUUUGACCCUUAUUGCGAGAGGGUUUUGAUGACCAGGGGGGUUGCAUUGCCUCACUUGCUGCGUAUGCGGCUGCGUGCUGCUCGUCAUGCACAACUGGCAGCUGAGGGCUAACCUUCUUGCUGAUGCCCCUAGGAGCCCUUUUCCUCAUGCACUUCCUUUGCGUGAAUUUUCUUGGUUGGACGAUAUAUCUGAUGUGCACCGUUUUGACCAUUAUGUAGAGCGCAACUCUACUCUUGUCGAUACCUCUGGCUGCUCCUCAAACUCAAUCUCCGUGAACGCUUGUCAGCCCUGGUACGUAGAUGAGGUGGUCCCUCUAGGUGAUUCCACCUUUUAUUUGGAUGACAAAGCUGAUGGCCUCGUCUUUGCUCCCUGAAUUCUGAGUGGCGGAUGCUGGCUGCCCGCUUAAAGGUGGCCGAGUGCAGUAACACCUUCUACGGGAUGGGAGAAGGUUAUGAGCUGGUGCUGCCCAAAGCUGGGUCCAGCCUUGUCAACCCUCUAGUGGGUCACAUUGCCGCUUUUGCUUCCCAGCUGAAUGUGGGACUAAGGUUUCCUUUAGAUCCAACUUUGGACAAGAUGCUGCGUGCCUUUAACAUUCCUCUUUCCUUGAUUCUGCCCGCGUCUCUGCAUACACUGAUAUGCUUGCUUUGGACGGUGCGUUACAAACGCUUUCCAGAGUCUCUGCCUCUGUUUCAUCAGUUAUUUAGCUUUAAACGGAGUGCUUCAGAUGCUAACUCAGGCUGGUUUUAUCUUGCGCCUAAACCUAAAAGAGUUUUGUCUUACCCCAAACUAGGCCGCUUCAGGGAUUGGUAGGGCAAAUUCUUUUGGCUGCAUGUUCCGGUUGACUUUGGGUGCCCUCGCUCUUUUUUGCUGUGUUAUAUCAAAUUUGGGGGGGCGUCACUCUGCAGGUAGCCGACGCUGCCAAAGAAGCUCAGGCCUUUGAUCAUUUUGAGGGUGAGUCCUAUUCUCCCAAAACAUGGCUUCCCAAUGGGUUAUAUGUUAUAGGGAAUGCUAAGCUCUCUGCCAUGCGUUUAUGCUCGACCCAUGAGUCUGUUGAGAUUCUUUUUGCCUCACAGUUAUUUCUGCUUCCUUCUACUUCUCUCCCUAUGAUACUAUGACUGAUUUGUUUUCCUUCUUUUUAGGCUAUGACAAAUUGGAUAAGGCAUUGCUGGGUGUGGAUGAUACUUGGAAGCCCCUUGUCAAGACUCCAAGAUAUCCCUCCUUCCCCCUUAAAGUGUUAGAGGUUUAUGUCACUGCCCGCCUGGGUGAGUCAUGCCCAGUCCCUGAGUUUAGACUCUACCAUUGCUAGAGCCUCUACCCGCUCUACUCCCACUACUCGGGCAGAGAUUGAGCCUGAAGUUUCUACUGCUGGUAGUGAUCAAGUUAGGGGGAAUGCUAAGUCCCCCCAAAUGUCUGGGUCGUUGAUGGUGCCAAGUUCUUCGGCUACGGUCUCCGGUCGGUGGACAACCCAGACUUUUGAUGAGAAUAAGGAUGAGGUCUGUAAUCGUGAAAUCCCUGAUGCUGCAGAAACCUUAGACGGCACAGGCCACAACAAUAAUGAGUUUACAUAUUCUCUACUUAACGCUGUAUCUUUUGACACUUUGACCGUUGUUGGUGCUGGUAGAGUAACUGAGUCUAUGCAAGUUGAUGCAUCUUCUAGGCUUGAACCAUAGGGUUCUAUUUCAAUAAGGCAUGUUCUGCUCUUUACUAAUGAAGCUUCACUUCUUGUUUCAGAGAGUCAACCUCUCCCUUCCUCUACUUCUACCGAGCAUGUUUUGCUCGAACUUCUACUACUGGAGGCUUGACUGUUGAGCUCUCUGCUUCUACUUAUGUAUUUUCUGGCGCUACUGUAACUCACAACCCUAUUUCUCAGAUAAGGUAUUAAUGUGAUCGUCUGUGUAGCCGUCAUCGUGGUGGGCACACGCCCACCACUUCUAGCAGAGAGAGCCCUACCCCCAUUAUUGACUUGGAGCCUAUUUCUCCUCCACGUGAGCCUUCUCCCAAAAGGGCCAGAGUUCCCAUUGUGGACGAGCUGUUUGCUUCAGCUUCUUGUCAAUAUGAGCCUAUGAGCGCGCUCAAGGUGGGGCUGCUCCUGCUUCCAGUGAACUUAAUCGCUGCGCGAAUCAAUUUUUUGGGGAGACUUACACUCAUCCCUUCUCUGUUUCUUCUAAAUCCUCAGACAGGGUUUUUAAGGCAGCUGGCCCUUUAGAGUUUUCUAAAGUGCAUAUUAACGCAGCUCUGAGGCCUGCACUGCGUCCGUCUAGGGUUGCUGACGAGCCUUUCUACUCUACCCUGAAUGUUAGGUCUGACAAAUCUAUUUUCCUUAACGACCUUCUUCAGGGAGGUACUAUGGGGUAUAGGUUGACUUAGGGCAUCCGGCUCCUCGCUAACCUUGGGAACCAGUAUGUCAGCGUGCCUGCUGCCGUUGCCUGCCAUGACCUACAAAAGGUAUCGUUUUACUUGCUUCUUGCUUUCCUUUAUUUUACGAGGUUUUUACUUAUUUGUUUUCUUUUCAUUAUUCUUUAAUUUUUAUUGUCUUUGUUCCCUUCUUUGGUGGCUGCCCAGCUCGCUCGCUCUAUUGGUGAUCUGGCUAAUGCUUUGCUCACUGUUGAGAAAGGUUACCAGUCUCAAAGUUCGAGCUUAAAUGAAAAGGUUGAUGAUCUGGAGCAAGUUUAGAACGAGAAGGCAGAGCUGGAGCGUGGGUUGGGGGAGAAGGAUGAUGCGCUAUGCGCUGCUCAACUCCAAUUAGCUAAAUACCUCCCUGUUGCUCAGAAGCUGGCUCAGCACGAAGAUGAGCUAAAAAGGGUUCAGGCCCAAGUGCAGAAUUUGGAAGCAAUGGUAGCUCGCUUAGAGGGAGACCGUACCGCAGAGCUUAAUGCAGCUCGCAGGGAUGCCUUGGUGGAGUUUGUUUCCUCUCAGACCUUUGCAAACUUGGUCACAGACAAGCAUGAUGGAGGCUGCACGCAGAAGUGCUGGUGAGGAGCAUCAGGUGAAGUUUGAGCAGUUUUGGAGCAGGGUUGAUCAACCAAGAUGCUUAUGUGUAUCUCGCUCAUAACCCUCGUGUUGCCGCUUGUGGCAUUCCAGACCAUGCUGUUCUCAAUAAGGUCCAUGCUGAGUCUCCUGACCUUGCUGCUGCCAUUGGGGUAGAGGCCCUUCCUGCCAACCAAUAAAGGUUUUGGCGGCCAUCUCCCUGUUCUUCCAGUGGCUCAUCUGAGUACCCCUCUCCCCGCUCUGUAAUAAGUUUAUGUUUUUUGCUUUCUUCCAUUUGGGUGUAUAGCCGCCAGUGGUUGUGUAGGUUUUUAAGGCAUGUACUUGCCUUGGCUAUUUUCCAGAACUUUUUAUCUUUUCUUCGUUUGUUAAAGACAAUACUUUUGUGCCUUUGGAAUUUGCACUUUGCAAUUUGCUUUGUCUUACUUGCUUUAACUUUUAGCUCCUUUCUUCUCUUUUGGUUGCGCAUUUUUUUAUUGUGUAUUUCUGCUUGAUGUGUGCUGGGUUCAGUUAUCCGAAGGAGAGGGUACUCCUCUUUUCGCUGUUUGGAGUUUCCCCCCUUCCUAGCUGACACUGUUGCCCCCUUGACUGCACUGUUGGCUACCAUUACCUACUAGCGCUCUUAGGCUUGGUUUAUUUAGGCAAACUGUUACUUCAGGUGUCCCUAUUGUAAUAAUUUCCUUCCAAGGCUGAAAACACCCCCAGCGCAGGAUUGUGGCCUUCUUGUUUGCGUUUUCUUGCCCGUCCCCUGCUUCUUGGGCGGGGCUUGGGGCUUUUAUGCCGCCACUUUAUUUUAGUGCGGUUUAAUUUUUAUGCCUCUGUUUCUUAUGAACUGGGUUUCUACCUUCGCUUUAUUGUAGCAAGGCUUUAAUGAGGCGAACAUGUUGUUUUCUAUUUUGCUUAGCUCGUGCUGGGUUUGCCUUAUUAUAGCCCUGCUUGCUCUGGCAGAAACAUAUAAUCCUUUGCUAACAAACAAGUAAGUAAUGCAAUAAAAUAUUAUAUUUAGGGAAAGGCCUCACGCAGAGGUUAAAUAUUCCAUCGAUAAUGUGAAACGCCUCACGCAGAGGUUAAUGUUCCUCUUCUUUAAAAUUACAACUUAUCGGAAAUAAAGCUUAGACGACUCCUUCAUUUAUAGCUAAACAAAAUGCUAAAGAAAAACAUGAAAUUAUGUGAAUAACCUCUUUAGGACGUCAGCAUUUAAUCUGUUCCUCAAGAUGCAACCAUCCUAAUUAGAGAGUAGGUAGGCCCCUGGCCCUACCUGCUUGUGUAUUAUGAAGGGUCCUUCCCAAUUCGCGCUCAACUUUCCAUGUAGCUUUCCUCUACACACAACAGCUGUUCUUCUCAGUACUAAGUCCCCUUCACUGAGUUCUCUAUGCCUUACUCUUCUAUUGUAGACUUGGCCAUUCUGCUUUUCUGAGCAGCUAACUUUAGGGCAGCCUUCAACCUGACUUCUGGUAGGAGAUCUAACUCCCCUCUCAUUCUGUCCUCGUUCUUUUGACUGUCAUAGUGUUGUACUCUUAAACUUGGGAGUUGCACUUCUGUUUCGGGGUGUUUUGAGAUGUCCUACGGGAGAGUUACAGCACCGGGAAUGUACGCCUGACGUCUGCACCUGCAAAACCACGAAACUCCGGUUGGGUGGAGUUCCACCUCCGAAGGUCAAGUUAGUAUGAUUUCGGAUGUGUAUACGUGCGGAAAGUAAACUGGUUCUCUCGGAUUCCGAGAGAUUCCGCAAUUAAUAUUGCUCUGGUUUUGUGUGUAUUUAUGAAUCCCAAUA